AGGACGAACGCUGGCGGCGUGCUUAACACAUGCAAGUCGAGCGGAAAGGCCCUUCGGGGUACGUCGAGCGGCGAACGGGUGGAGUAACACGUGAGCAACCUGCCCUUAGCUCUGGGAUAGCUCCGGGAAACCGGAAUUAAUACCGGAUAUUACACCGGCUGGCAUCGGCUGGUGUGGAAAGAUUUAUCGGCUAAGGAUGGACUCGCGGCCUAUCAGCUUGUUGGUGGGGUAGAAGCCUACCAAGGCGACGACGGGUA
rnacentral:rRNA from 1 species